UACACUCAGGAACGAUCUGACAUCUAAACCAUCCGAACAGUAGAUAUUCUCAGGGAUGGGAACAUGCCCAUCUCGGUAUUCCCCAAUCGCUGCCACGGUCCUGCUGCCUGACUAGUUAGCUCAGAGUCUGGGGAAUGAGGCUGACCCUGAUAAUGUGCAGUCUAAGCUUGCAGGCUUGAACAGGGCACAUAGAUAGAUAGAUAGAUAUCUGCUGUAAGGUGGGCUCACAUAACCUUUCAGGCUCUUGGUUUUGUUUUUGUUUUGUUUUUUCUUAAGAUAGAAAACCACAGGGCUCUGCUCAUCCUUAACGGUUGUAUCUUUUGAAGCACAGUCUCGGGUUGCAGAAGCAAAAGCAGUUCCAUCCUGUUCCUGCCUGUUUCUGGGACCUAACUGUUUGAUGUGGGUUGAGAUUGUUCCAGAUCCGACUGUACUGUGCUGGCGCUGCAGAGAAGCAAGUACAUCAACGCUUUCUCACCUUUGAUAGGUUUUGGUUUUUAACAUUUUAGAACCAUUGAUCACACACUUUUUAUUUUUUUCUGAAAAUUCACUAAAUGUACUCUCCAAUCCACAUGAUGUAAUUAUAAAAGUAAAUGGACACUGUUCGUAGUCUUAUUUAAUUUAUAAGGUUUGUCUUUAGUGUCUUAGUAGGUUACCUGGCCGAACUGUGUGUGUAGAAAUCGUGCUUUAAUCUGUGGGAUUGUGGAUUGCUGUGACUUGCAGGUGUGGCCUCAUGUGUGAUAGGAUAGGUGUUCAUGGGAAGCUAGACUACGUGCCUCUGGCUGUGAACCAUCUAUGACGUUUCUUAAUGCUGUACUUACAAAUGUGAAGUGUGAAUAGGGUUGGUCUCAGAAAAGAAGGUAUUUAUAUAAACCUUAGGCCACAGGAACUGGCAUUUUUCGUAGUAUAGAAAUUUAAUAAGAACCAAAUCACAAAAAUCCCAGCUCUCCUUUUGAGGCCAGGGACAAUCAGGCCAUUUGGACAAUCAGCAUUCCAGUCCCACUAAGUAUCGAGGCUGGAGAAUCACCACUUAGGUUCUUAAGGCGCUGUUGAUCCUUUUCUUGUAUUUUUGUUUUAGUUUUGGGAUUU
rnacentral:lncRNA from 1 species